UUACCAGGUCUUGACAUCCGAUGCUAUUCUAGAGAUAGUAAAGUUACUUCGGUACAUCGGUGACAGGUGGUGCAUGGUUGUCGUCAGCUCGUGUCGUGAGAUGUUGGGUUAAGUCCCGCAACGAGCGCAACCCCUAUUGUUAGUUGCCAUCAUUCAGUUGGGCACUCUAGCGAGACUGCCGGUAAUAAACCGGAGGAAGGUGGGAUGACGUCAAAUCAUCAUGCCCCUUAUGACCUGGGCUACACACGUGCUACAAUGGUUGGUACAACGAGUUGCGAGUCGGUGACGGCGAGCUAAUACUCUUAAAGCCAAUCUCAGUUCGGAUUGUAGGCUGCAACUCGCCUACAUGAAGUCGGAAUCGCUAGUAAUCGCGGAUCAGCACGCCGCGGUGAAUACGUUCCCGGGCCUU
rnacentral:rRNA from 1 species